GCAUACAGUGGCAUAGUGGUUAGCAUGUUCGCCUCACACCUCCAGGGUCCGGGGUUCGAUUCCGUGGCCAUGUGUGUG